rnacentral:lncRNA from 1 species
AGGGUUUCGUGAGGAAGGUGAUGAAGGCGAUUGGAUGGUCGAGGAAGAUGAAGGCGAUUCGUUGGGUUGUGGAUCUGGUGGUGGUGUAACGGCGGAAAAGGAUUAUGGUUGCUGAAGGGUGUGGCGGCUAGGGUUGUCGUGAGGAAGAAGAGGGUGUGACGGCUGAGAAAGAGGAUGAAGAGAAACGGGUUUGGAUGUAAACGGCGGCGGAUUUUAGGGUUGGAGUAGAAGUGAGAGUGAGCGAUGAAGAUGAGGAAGCUUAGGAGAGUGAGAGUUUUGGAGAGAGUGGCGGCUAGGUCUUUUGUGGCCGAUCCAUGAGAUGCUGUCUCACUCUCUUUUAUCUUUUAUUUUUUUCUUUUUU